rnacentral:lncRNA from 1 species
AGAAAGACAGAAAGACGACGUCAUCGAGGUUAGUCCUUCGGUCCCAGUAAAUUUAUACCGAAACAGUUUUAAUAUUAACCCUCCAAUUUUCUUCAGAAAAAAUAAAGGCAUAGACCCAGAAUCUAGCAUAACUCUCCCUACAUCCACAUCACCAAUAGCGCAUGGAAGAGAGAAACUCCUUGGAUCUUUCAUCUUAGGUUGAUGUUUUCUCUUUUUAGGAUAUGUAUAAGCUUCAUGUUCUUCAAUUUCUUCUUCAAGAUCUAUAACCUCUCCAAGAUUAUACUUUAUUCUCUUGGAGUAAACAGGAACUUGGUGCAAUAAUUCAACUGAAGGCCUAACAAUCACCUGAUUAAAGAUCUCUCUAAAUUGUCCACAAUGAUUUUCUCUCUCUUCUUCACUCUCAAUUUUUUUUUCUUUCCUCUCCUCUUCUUCAUCCUCACUGCUCUCUAUCUCAAUAAUCUCUCUUUCAACUCCUCUCUCACGCCUGUUAUCACCAUUUUACACUCCUCUUUAAGGUUAACAUCAGUAUUAGCCCUAAAUUGGUUCUUCUUAGUGACAUCCACCCUCUUUGAAAGUUGACCAAUUUGCAUCUCUAGAGUUCUGAAAUUAGAUUAAUGACUCUUAUAAUGCAAAUCAUAAACCUUUAGGAAUUUAUCAAAUUUAUCAUCAAGGUUUCUGACUUGCU